GCUGGCAUAGAGCCUUACCGCGCCGUCGUGCUGGUUGUCGGCAACCAUCCACGCUCCGCGCAGGUACUUCGUC
rnacentral:sRNA from 1 species